rfam:Geoglobus ahangari strain 234, complete genome.
AGCCCCGUAGGGUAGUGGUCAAUCCUGCGGGACUCUGGAUCCCGCGACCCCGGUUCGAAUCCGGGCGGGGCUA